AGUUCGGUGUUUGCUUUUCAGCGCGCGCCUCUGACCCGGGUCUCUAAGGGGGCAUCUUUUCUCCUGGGUCGUCUCCAAGCCCUCUCAGCCGAUUUCAUGGGGCCCAGCCUGGGCUAACUUGGGGAGGAGGGAUCUUCCCAAACACCAAAAAGGACCCAAAUUCAAAUUUGUGUGGUUAGUUUGUUGUUGCUGGUUUGUUUAAAAGGGGAAAGAAACAAAACGGAUAAAGGGGGGAAAGUCGAAGGAAGAGAGUCACUAGCAAAUAAGGAACUUUGGACGAUCAGUGUCUUUAUGAGCAUCUCACAGAACCGAGCUCUCCUAAGUCGCUCUCAGGUUAAAAGCAAAAACUCUCUUUGAGUUUAGAGAGCCGCUUGUAACAGCGCCUGUGGGAAAAUAAAGUCUAGGCUGUCAGGCUCCGGUUCCAGCCGUUCUCGUGGCGACCGGCACACACAAUCCGGAGCUGCACUAUGUGUGCGUGCCUGCCUCCCGGCUCUCUGGGUGGAAGCAUUCGGAGAAUCUCUGGGAGCUUCGAGUAGGGGCUCACCCUGUGAGCAGUACUCACACAUAUAAUUCAAAUUUCACAGCUGACCUGCUCUGAAAACCUCAAUCAGCUUCUAAUUGAAGGGAAAACAAAAUAUUGCUUCCCUACAGCAGAGCUAACGAUUUAAUCAUUAUAUCAGACAUUAUAGCUUUUAAUUAGGCUAAUGCUGAUACUGUAUGGAAAGAGAUAAUUCAACACAGUUCUUGAUGAAUUCUGUAAUUGGGUUAACGGCGGAGCAGUCGGGGGAGAGACGUCAAUAUUCAAGCUGCGUCUGUAGCCACCAGGUUUAUGAAUGAAAGAGAGGAGGAAAGCCUGGAACCCAAGGGGGCAUCGAGCCCUCUCUCCCCCGGAGCUGCGGGUACUAGGGAAGAGGCGACUGAGAUGCCAGCGAGGCUGGACCGCCGCCGGGUGCCAGGCCUCGCGGGUUUGGAACCGAGCGCGCCCGCUUCGUCGCGUGAAAUUUUCUGACAAGAAUUUCAGCAGACCCACUUUGCGAGUACACCUGGGCACCCGAUUCCGAAUCUCUCUACUGGGUCCCAACCCAUGCCUGCAAGGAGGGCUGAGCACCCAAGCAGCCGCUAAGGCUUUCCAUCCAGUGGCCUUUGAAAAGACAAGUGCUGCCUGGGUUCCCACCCAUCGCGAGUGCCGGCUGGGUGUCCACAGCGCCCCUGGCACUCACACUCGACAGAAGCAACUCUACCCUCCGCAGGUACCCUGGGUGCGCCGGGCGCUGGUGGCACCGGAGGCUGUCCGCACCCAUGUGUCCUUGCCGAUCGAAAAAGGGCAGCUCUAGUGGGUGCCCAGGCUUGUGCCCAAUGUCUUUUCCCCUUUCCAACUCUUGGCUGAGCGGGUACUUGGCCUUGGGCUAAAGGAGAAGGUUAACAAUUAGAGGGUGUGGGCCCGCUUCCCUUCCUGCAAAAGAAGGGGAAGC
rnacentral:lncRNA from 1 species